UUCAACAGCAAUUUUCUCUCGGUGGUGAGUUUGAAUGCCCGUGUGGCUAGAAGUGAUAAUUUUUUAACAUUUUGUAUGUUUUUCUAAAUUCAUAAAUUGGUAUAAAAAAGUCAGUUUUCUACAUGUCAUAGCAUGAUUUCGCUUUAUCAUGUGAAAAUAUUGUUUCUUUUUAGAUGUAAUAACAGUAAUAAGUCUAUUUUCAGAAUACUAUAUCAACAGAGAAACGUUUGUUCAAAAUAUAUUUGCUUUCUUUUAAAAAAGCGGAAAAGAAGAAAACAAAUUCAACUCACUCCCAACAAUGUACAACGUGAGAUUAGCUAAAAUGUAAACAUCAACAUAAGCCAAUCGCAAACAGUGACGAGACGAUUUUAACUACGCAAAGCAUUGCUCUGGCUAACAGCACACAUCAUGAUUCACGAUGAGCCGCCAUAUGUCAGCAAUGAUUUCUCGUCGGAAUUCUCACCUUUCCCAAAAACCGACCGAAACACAGUAGUAAACAAACAUUCGAAAAAAUCACAUUUCAACUUACGUCACUCCGCAAAACAAGCGUGGAUUUUUUCCGUCGUCCAAGUCAAGUGAAAAAUUCUGGACAGAGCCUCUUUCAACUCACUGCUGGUGUGAAAAGCACAUGCACAAGGUUUCCUCCUGUGGUUUUUUUUCCUAUCUGCGUGUUUAGCGUGAAACACAAAACAAACCUCGAAAUCCUACCGGAACCGUUCGAUUAACAACCGCAAUCGUCGCUUUAUUGGGUUUCCUAGCUUCCGAACCGCACAAAAUGCAGAAUAAUUGAACCGAAAAUAGCAAAUCAAAUGCUCACUCUUGCACAGAAUAGUGAAAAUAAA